rnacentral:rRNA from 1 species
UACGUAGGCAGCAAGCGUUGUUCGGAGUUACUGGGCGUAAAGGGUGUGUAGGCGGUUGUUUAAGUUUGGUGUGAAAUCUCCCGGCUCAACUGGGAGGGUGCGCCGAAUACUGAAUGACUAGAGUGCGGGAGAGGAAAGUGGAAUUCCUGGUGUAGCGGUGAAAUGCGUAGAUAUCAGGAGGAACACCGGUGGUGUAGACGGCUUUCUGGGACCGUA